CAGUAGCCGCGGGAAAACGUAGGUGGCAAGCGUUGUCCGGAAUUAUUGGGCGUAAAGGGCUCGCAGGCGGUUUCUUAAGUCUGAUGUGAAAGCCCCCGGCUCAACCGGGGAGGGUCAUUGGAAACUGGGAAACUUGAGUGCAGAAGAGGAGAGUGGAAUUCCACGUGUAGCGGUGAAAUGCGUAGAGAUGUGGAGGAACACCAGUGGCGAAGGCGACUCUCUGGUCUGUAACUGACGCUGAGGAGCGAAAGCGUGGGGAGCGAACAGGAUUAGAUACCCCAGUAGUCCCUGUCUCUUAUAA
rnacentral:rRNA from 1 species